GACGAACGCUGGCGGCGUGCUUAACACAUGCAAGUCGAACGAGUGGCGAACGGGUUAGUAACAGGUGGGUGACCUGCCCUGCACUUCGGGAUACGACUGGGAAACUGAGUCUAAUACCGGAUAGUGUGGGAUGGGCCCGCGGCCUAUCAGCUUGUUGGUCGGGUAAGGGCUACCAAGGCGGGACGGGUAGCCGGCCUGAGAGGGGGCUCAGCCACACUGGGACUGAGACACGGCCCAGACUCCUACGGGAGGCAGCAGUGGGGAAUAUUGGACAAUGGGCGCAAGCCUGAGGCAGCCAUGCCGCGUGUAUGAAGAAGGCCUUAGGGUUGUAAAGUACUUUCAGCGGGGAGGCGUUACCCGCAGAAGAAGCCCCGGCUAACUCCGUUCCAGCAGCCGCGGUAAUUC
rnacentral:rRNA from 1 species